CGGAACGGGUGAGUAACACGUGAGCAACCUACCUUUCAGUGGGGGACAACAUUUGGAAACGAAUGCUAAUACCGCAUAAGACCACAGUGUCGCAUGGCACAGGGGUCAAAGGAUUUAUCCGCUGAAAGAUGGGCUCGCGUCCGAUUAGCUAGAUGGUGAGGUAACGGCCCACCAUGGCGACGAUCGGUAGCCGGACUGAGAGGUUGAACGGCCACAUUGGGACUGAGACACGGCCCAGACUCCUACGGGAGGCAGCAUG
rnacentral:rRNA from 1 species